CCUACGGGCGGCAGCAGUGAGGAAUAUUGGUCAAUGGGCGAGAGCCUGAACCAGCCAAGUCGCGUGAGGGAGUACUGCCCUAUGGGUUGUAAACCUCUUUUGUCGGGGAGCAAAAGCCGGACGUGUCCGGCUGUGAGAGUACCCGAAGAAAAAGCAUCGGCUAACUCCGUGCCAGCAGCCGCGGUAAUACGGAGGAUGCGAGCGUUAUCCGGAUUUAUUGGGUUUAACGGGUGCGCAGGCGGAUUUUUAAGUCAGCGGUAAAAUCGUGGGGCUCAACCCCAUCCAGCCGUUGAAACUGGGGAUCUAGAGUGUGCGAGAGGUAUGCGGAAUGCGUGGUGUAGCGGUGAAAUGCAUAGAUAUCACGCAGAACCCCGAUUGCGAAGGCAGCAUACCGGUGCACAACUGACGCUCAGGCACGAAAGCGUGGGUAUCGAACAGGAUUAGAUACCCGUGUAGUC
rnacentral:rRNA from 1 species